rnacentral:rRNA from 3 species
GUUCGAUCUCAAAUCAGGUAGGACUACCCGCUGAACUUAA